UGAGGCAGGAGAAUCGCUUGAACCCAGGAGGUGGAGGUUGCAGUGAACCGAGAUUGCGCCACCGCACUCCAGCCUGGGUGACAGGGACUCCGUCUCAAAAACAAAAAAA
rnacentral:miRNA from 1 species